GACGAACCGUGCGAACGUUAUUCGGAAUCACUGGGCUUAAAGCGCGUGUAGGCGGAUGGGUACGUCGGUCGCUGAAAGCCCCCGGCUCAACCGGGGAAGGGGUGCCGAAACGACCCGUCUGGAGGGACGUAGGGGGAUCUGGAACUUCCGGUGGAGCGGUGAAAUGCGUUGAGAUCGGAAGGAACGCCCGUGGCGAAAGCGAGCCCCUGGACGUCUACUGACGCUGAGACGCGAAAGCCAGGGGAGCGAACGGG
rnacentral:rRNA from 1 species